GGAUUGCCCUAGUAACGGCGAGUGAAGCGGCAACAGCUCAAAUUUGAAAUCUGGCUCUCGGGCCCGAGUUGUAAUUUGUAGAGGAUACUUUUGAUGCGGUGCCUUCCGAGUUCCCUGGAACGGGACGCCAUAGAGGGUGAGAGCCCCGUCUGGUUGGAUGCCAAAUCUCUGUAAAGUUCCUUCAACGAGUCGAGUAGUUUGGGAAUGCUGCUCUAAAUGGGAGGUAUAUGUCUUCUAAAGCUAAAUACCGGCCAGAGACCGAUAGCGCACAAGUAGAGUGAUCGAAAGAUGAAAAGCACUUUGAAAAGAGAGUUAAAAAGUACGUGAAAUUGUUGAAAGGGAAGCGUUUAUGACCAGACUUGGGCUUGGUUAAUCAUCUGGGGUUCUCCCCAGUGCACUUUUCCAGUCCAGGCCAGCAUCAGUUUUCCCCGGGGGAUAAAGGCGGCGGGAAUGUGGCUCUCUUCGGGGAGUGUUAUAGCCCACCGUGUAAUACCCUGGGGGGGACUGAGGUUCGCGCAUCUGCAAGGAUGCUGGCGUAAUGGUCAUCAACGACCCGU
rnacentral:rRNA from 1 species